rnacentral:rRNA from 1 species
GGAAGUAAAAGUCGUAACAAGGUUUCCGUAGGUGAACCUGCGGAAGGAUCAUUACCGAGUUGAUUCGGGCUCCGGCCCGAUCCUCCCACCCUUUGUGUACCUACCUCUGUUGCUUUGGCGGGCCGCGGUCCUCCGCGGCCGCCCCCCCCUCCCCGGGGGGUGGCCAGCGCCCGCCAGAGGACCAUCAAACUCCAGUCAGUAAACGAUGCAGUCUGAAAAACAUUUAAUAAACUAAAACUUUCAACAACGGAUCUCUUGGUUCUGGCAUCGAUGAAGAACGCAGCGAAAUGCGAUAAGUAAUGUGAAUUGCAGAAUUCAGUGAAUCAUCGAAUCUUUGAACGCACAUUGCGCCCUUUGGUAUUCCGAAGGGCAUGCCUGUUCGAGCGUCAUUACAACCCUCAAGCUCUGCUUGGUAUUGGGCACCGUCCUUUGCGGGCGCGCCUCAAAGACCUCGGCGGUGGCGUCUUGCCUCAAGCGUAGUAGAACAUACAUCUCGCUUCGGAGCGCAGGGCGUCGCCCGCCGGACGAACCUUCUGAACUUUUCUCAAGGUUGACCUCGGAUCAGGUAGGGAUACCCGCUGAACUUAAGCAUAUCAAUAAGCGGAGGA